GGCUAUGGCUUAAUGGUAGAACAUCUGCUUUCCAUGCAGAAGGUCCCUGGUUCGAUCUCCGGGUAGGGUUG